UUUUAUUCCGAGCGCGCUGGGGCCCACAGUCGUACGCCACGCAGGGGUAGAGGACUGCGGCCCCGAGUGUGGAGUCGUGACAGCUUUUAUGGGGUUCACAACAAAGCCCGCGCUUUUACAAACUAAUCAUUUUUAAAAUAUCGCAAACCAGUCAAUUCAAAACUUCGAGAGCCCGCGCUUUGUGGACCAAUUAAUUUUAAGUUGUUCUGGAGUUACAUGUUUGUGCCUGUCUCUGGGUGGGGGAGACAUAUUGUCACCAAGAUAUAUUUAUCAGGAUUUUCAACAUUUUGUGGCACGCCCGAUCUUACUGGGGUCCGUUAGGCAAUUGACUUCUCCUCUUUUUAUCUUAUGCAAGCAGGUUUACAGAAGCCAAACAAGCAGUUAGGAGCAGUUUCAAGAAGUUUCAAGCAUAGAGGCACAUACUCAGGGGCCUGUUUUUCCCCUUCCACAAAGUUUUGUACAGAGCAGAAAGCAAGCCCUAAAACAGCAAAAAGUAUGAUCUUUUACCUAUAGGGAACAGGGUCUGGAAUUCGAGGGCAUUUAGAGCUUCUUAUUAACUUCCUGGGUUCUGGGAGAGUCAGGUUGCAUUUUCAUCCUUUCAUUCCCCACUUCUUCUCUUGUUAAUAGUUCUAAUCUUAGAACUAGGAAGGCUAAAGGUCAGUUUCUCCUUAGCUUGGAAGGCCUUGGUACUGCUGUCUAAGUACCAUGAUCCGAACUGCACUCACUUGUUCUCUAACAAAGGCAACAAACCGAUUAAUUAAGCAAGAUCUAACCCCCUUCUGUUCUGUAGAACCACUUCAGAUAAGGAGGUUAGGGAUUCCUCCAGGUUACUGACAGAUUUUUCUAGGGCUUGGAGAUCUUCCGUUACAAUUCGAUGUAGGUUACUAAGUCCUUUCUCCAGCUGUUGCGGUCCUGUGAUUAGGGCAGCCGUUCCUGUUCCCACGCCUGCAGCCACUCCCAAUCCGAGCAUUACAGCUAGUGUCAGGGAUAUGGGCUCUCUUUUUGGCCGAUUAUAUCUAUAGUCAUAUUCAUCAAGGACUGCUUUUUCGGGAUAGUAGUACACCCGGGGGACAAUUUGGACCAUAACGCAAAAGUCUUUAGUUUGGUUGAAAACCAAGGUGGAAACACAAGGGGUUAAUCCAGUAUUACAUGCCCACCACCUGUCAUAACCAGGUACCAGAUACUGACUCUCAGAGGUUCGAUUAAAGGCUUCAGUGUGGUUACAAAGGUGUUGGUGGGAUGGGGGAACCAUCCCUAUGCAGGUGCCUUUUCCAGAAACCUCAGUAAGGGUAAGCUUAUUUUGGGAUCCCCAUGUACAUUGGUCUCUAUGUUCCUUUGUCACAUUGAAUUUCCCUCCUCUAGCCAUUCCCUCAUAGUAAGGUGGGCCCGAAGCUAAGCAAAGCCAACAAGAAGAGGUAGCCUCUGGAGUCGUGGAGUUAAGAGCUUGAAAAGCUCCCUGGAUGAGGCUAAAAAGUUUCGCCCCUGUUUUAAUAGUGAUGUUAGGCUCAGUGGGGACUGAUCCAGAGGUUGUAUUGUAAUCAGAGGGGUUAGGAGAUGGCCUCUGUUCUUGGAUUGGAGGUCCUUGUUCGGCCAAACCCUUAUUUGGUCCUAUAGCAACCGGAGGUUCCAUCUGAGUUUCUAUUCUGAGGCGAAUAGUCAGAACAGAUCCUUUCUUUCUCCCAGAGCCUCCAUAGUACACUAUUCCCCAAGACAUACCAUUUACCCACUUUUGAAUAUUUUCUUGUUUUCCUUUUUCAGUGAAACUUAUUUUUAAGUAAUCUAGGUCUAACGAAUGACAGCUUAUUUGCUUAUUUCGUACAUCUUUUUGUACCCGCUGUUGCCAAUCUUUCCAUCUCCCAUGGCCAUAAUUAAAUUGAUUAUAACUGGUAGGAUUGUUAACAAAAGAGUAACUUACUCUGUCUUGCUGAGAGACUGGCCAUUUCCAAUUCCCAUCAUUAGAAGUUACGCAGCUCCAUUGCUUGCAAAAGAAAUCCUGAGGAUUUCCACAAUAUUCUUCAUUAUUUGGGGGUCCUGGGCAAACAUAAAACCCAUAAGCACGGAGUACAUCGGGGGGUGUGGCCUGGUCGUUGAGACCAGGGAUUACCGAUCGAAGGCAGACAUAUAACUCAGGCCACCAGGUCCCUAAGGGAGCCUCCCCUUGAGUGCUGUUAAUAGUAAUACCUGUACUGGAGUCAGUAAGUAACCAGGUGAGAGAUAAGGGUUUGUGGGAGUUCGGGCGUUUACCAUUAACUUGAGGAGUUAUUUACAGAGUAAGGAACCAAGCGAUGGAGGCGAAGCUUAAGGGGGUUUUCAGUCUUUUCGGCUCUCCACCCCGAAUCGGGAGGUGGCGCCGGCUUAACGUGGGAUGCAUGGAUCUAGGUGGAGAUUCCUUCAACUUUUACAGCCGUUGGUGUGGUCAAAAGUACGAGAUAAGGGCCCUUCCACCGAGUCUCGAGGUUUCCUGCACGGUGGCGUCUAACAUAGACUGAAUCUCCAACUUGGAAGCGAUGUGGAACUUGCAAGUCUCCUCCUGAGUAGGCCUCCCAGAGCUGCUUCCAUGCUCGCUGCCUCACCUACUCGAGUGCCUUAAGCCUAGAGAACAAAGGCUGGGAAAGCAGUACAUCAGCACUAUGUACAAAGGCAAUUUCUGCCAACCGGGGGGGGGGGUCCCCCAUAGAGCAAUUCAUAAGGGGUCAGCCCAAACUGUCCAGGGGUGUUCCUAACCCUAAAAAGCACAAAGGGCAGGAGAGCUAUCCAAUCAUUAAUGCCAGUCUCUGUGGUCAAUUUGGUAAGGGUCUCUUUAAUGGUUCUAUUCAUCCUCUCUACCUGUCCUGAGCUUUGGGGUCUGUAUGCACAAUGCAGUUUCCAAUCAAUCCCCAAUAUCUUGGCCAGUCCCUGACUUACCUGGGCAACGAAAGCUGGACCAUUGUCUGACCCUAUUACCUUAGGUAUUCCAAAUCUUGGAAAAAUUUCCUCCAGUAUUUUCUUAGCCACCACGGUUGAAGUCUCUUUCUUAGUAGGAUAAGCCUCUACCCAUCCUGAAAAGGUGUCUACAAAAACCAAUAGAUAUUUGUUUCCGUAUUUAGCCGGCUUUACCUCAGUGAAGUCCACUUCCCAGUGAGCGCCUGGGUGGCUUCCCCUUAGUCUCUUUCCUGGAGGUAUUCUGGAAGGAUUAGCAUUAACCAGCUGGCAGGGCACACAAUGUUUGACCACCGAGUCAGCCACUCCUGGUAGCCUCAGAACAUGAUAAGGGGAUGUUCUGACCAACUGCUGCAGGUGUUUAGUUCCUAGGUGGGUUAGACGAUGUAUCUGUUGGACAUAUUCUAACCCUUCUUUGUGGGGCAGGAUUUCCUUCCCAUCUGAGGUAUAGCAGGUCCCCUCCGGAGUUUCAGAGAACUGGUCUAUCUUUUUUAUUUCUUGCCAGUCUUCUAGGGUGUACUGUCGUCCGGGUUCUGGGGCUUUGGGUGUUUCUAUCAUAGGCAGAAGGUUAACACCCUGGGCUGCCUGCUUGGCAACCCGGUCAGCCAUCUGGUUCCCUCUGGAUAUGGGAUCUUUGGCUUUCUGAUGUCCAGGACAGUGUAUAAUAGCUAGCCUUUUUGGCAAAUGUAAGGCUUCUAAUAGGCUUAGAAUUUCCUCUUUGUUCUUUAUUUCCCUCCCUGCUGAGGUAAGCAACCCCCUUUGCUUAUAGAUGGCCCCGUGUACGUGUGCAGUCGCAAAGGCAUACCUGCUGUCUGUAUAAAUGUUUAUGGAUUUCCCUUCGGCCAGCCGCAAAGCUUGCGUGAGGGCCAUGAGCUCAGCCUUUUGUGCUGAAGUUCCUUCCGGCAGGCUGCUGGCCCAGAUCGUGCGGGUCCCGUCCACCACCGCCGCCCCAGCCAUCCUCUUACCUUCCACCACAUAGCUGCUUCCGUCAGUGAACCAGGUUAACACUUCUCCAGUCAGCGGUAUGUCUGUAAGGUCCUUGCGGACCCCAGUCUCCUCAAUCAAUAGUUGAUGGCAAUCAUGAGUCACUGGUUCAUCAGUCUCUUCAGGCAGAAGAGUGGCAGGGUUGAGAGCGGCUGGUGGAGCGAACGUGACCCUCUCUGUGAGAAGCAGGCUUUGAUAGUGGGUCAUGCGGGCGUUGGUCAUCCAUCGGUCUGGGGGCUGCCGAACGAUGUUCUCCAACGCAUGGGGGGCUAUUACAGUUAUAUUCUGUCCCAAAGUCAAUUUGUCAGCGUCCUUGACCAGUAUGGCCACAGCUGCGAUAGCCUUCAGGCAUACGGGCCAACCACUGGCUACAGGAUCGAGCUUCUUUGACAGGUAGGCAACAGGUCUCCUCCAUGGUCCUAGAGUUUGGGUUAAAACUCCCCGGGCUACUCCCUUACGCUCAUCCACAUAAAGGGUAAAGGGUUUAGUCACGUCAGGGAGGGCCAGAGCAGGUGCGCUCAGCAGGGCCUUUUUGAUAGCAUCAAAUGCCUUCUGGUGCUCAGGAGCCCAGGAGAAUUCCCCUUUUUCUUUGGUUAGUGGGUAGAGUGGGGCUGCUAAGGUCGCAAACCCCGGGAUCCACAGUCUGCAAAAUCCAGCUGUCCCCAAAAACUCUCUCACUUGUUUGGCUGUGGUUGGGGCCGGUAUCUGGACUACAGUUCUCUUCCGUGCCUCCGUCAGCCAUCGCUGCCCGCCCCGCAAACUGUACCCCAAGUAUGUUACCUCUCUCCUGCAAAUCUGGGCCUUCUUAGCGGAGGCUCUGUAGCCUAGGUCAGACAAUUCCAGCAGUAGUGCCUUCGUACCUUCUAAGCAGUCCUGUUUGGUGGCUCCCGCCAGAAGCAGGUCAUCCACGUACUGGAGGAGGGUCACCUGGGGGUGUUGGAUCCUGAAGUUGGCCAGGUCUCUGUGUAGGGCUUCGUCAAAGAUGGUCGGGGAGUUUUUGAACCCUUGGGGCAGUCGAGUCCAAGUGAGCUGCCCGGUUCUUCCCGCACCUGGAUCUCUCCAUUCGAAGGCAAAAAGUGGUUGGCUAGUGGGAUGUAGUCUCAGGCAGAAGAAGGCAUCCUUUAAGUCCAAUACUGUAUACCAGCUCCGUUGGGGUGGGAGAGCACACAAGAGGUUAUAAGGGUUCGGGACUGUUGGGUGUAUAUCCUGCACCCGUUUAUUGACCUCUCUCAAGUCCUGUACUGGUCGAUAGUCAUUAGUCCCAGGCUUUCUAACCGGUAGCAGGGGAGUAUUCCAGGGAGAUUGGACAGGAACUAGGAUGCCCUGUUGGAUUAAUCUUUGAACAUGCGGCCGAAUUCCUUCUCGAGCUUCUUUACUCAAGGGGUACUGUCUGACUGACACUGGUGCAGCACUGGCCUUCAGUUGAAUAACCUGUGGGGGAACUUGCUUUGCCAAACCCAUCCCUGCGGUUUCUGCCCAGGCUUGGGGAAACUGUUCCAACCAGAAUUGUAUAUUUUGAUCAGGCUUUACUAGGGGAGAAUAUAGUCGAUAUUCGUCAUCUAAUUGGAGGGUCAACACAGUGAUAGGUUUGUUAUUUGCAGACACUUCUGGUUUCCCUUGUUCAAAAGAAAUUUGUGCUCCCAUCUUGGUCAGUAAGUCUCUACCUAAGAGGGGUGCUGGGCACUCAGGUAUGACCAGAAACGAGUGGGUUACCCGUCCCACUCCCAAGUCAACUGUUCUUCGGGUAGUCCAUGGAUAUUGUUGUUGCCCUGUGGCACCCAUCACCCAGGAUUUUUUAUCUUUUAGUUUUCCUAAUGGCUGUAGUAGCACUGAAUGUUUCGCUCCGGUAUCAACCAGAAACUCAACUGGUUGCCCCUCCACCUUUAAAGUUACCCUGGGCUCGGGGAGGGGGUCCGAACCCCGUCUUCCCUAGUCUUUAUCUUCUUCCAGAGCUAAGACCUUCAGUCCUUUGUUUCCCUUCUUGGGGCAGUCCCUUGCCCAGUGUCCUUUUUCUUUACAAUAUGCACAUUGGUCCUUGUCGAGUGGGGUCCUAUUGCCCAGGUUCCCUGACUGUCUAGGGCCUGACCUAAUUUUCCUAAAAUCUCUCUCUCUUUCCCUAUUGCUUUUCCCUUCAACCACUGCAGCCAAGAUCUUAGUCAAAUUCUUCUCUUGCCGUUUAUUACGUCUUUCCUCCCUUUCCUCUCUUUCUCUCUCUUUUCUUUGUUCCCUUUCUUCUUCUGUCUCCCUUUUGUAAUACACUUUCUCUGCCUCCUUCACUAGAUCACGUAACUCAGCCUCCUGUAACCCUUCCAGUCUCUGAAGCUUCUUUCUGAUAUCCAGGGCUGACUGUCCUAUGAAGGCCAGAGCCACUGAGGCUUUCUGAGCCUCCGAGGUAGGAUCAAAAGGGGUGAACCGCCUGAAGGCUUCCAUGAGCCUCUCAAGAAAAACUGAGGGAGGUUCAUUCGGUCCCUGCAUCACCUCUCUUACCUUAGCCAAGUUAGUGGGCCGUCUUGAGGCGCCCCGGAGACCCGCCACCAGAGCCUGGCGAUAGAUUUUCAAGCUCUCCCUACCUUCAGCCGUGUUGUAGUCCCAACCGGGGCGAGUCAAGGGAAAUCCCAUGUCAAUCUCAUUUUGCAACUGCGUGGGUCGCCCGUCGGCCCCAGGAACAUUUUUUCUAGCCUCUAACAGAAUUCUCUCUCGCUCCUCGGUUGUGAAGAGUGUCUGCAGCAGCUGUUGACAAUCAUCCCAAGUAGGCUGGUGAGAGAACAUAAGGGACUCCACCAACCCCGUGAGGCGUUGGGGAUCCUCCGAGAAAGGGGGAUGGUUAGUUUUCCAAUUAUAGAGAUCUGCAGAAGAAAAGGGCCAAUACUGGAGGGGCUGCAAUUGGCCCCCCGGUAUGGGAGGGCCGUACGUGCGCAGCGGUAAUGUCGCGAUCUCGUCUGUCCGCUCCGGGGUGGCGCCCCUCCGGCUCCGAGUCCCUGCAGCAGGUCCCUCCACCGCCGGAGCUCCAGGAGGGGCAGAGGGUCCCCUCGCAGCACCCUGUGCCGGAUAAGGGGGUGGGGGAACAGAUUGGGGUUCCGGCCAAGCCGGCGGCUCCUCAAUCUCGGGGUAGAUAUGAGGAGAGGGCUUGACUUUUUCAGCCGAGUGUUUGUUUUUCUCUCCAAGAGCCAGAAUUCGGGGACCUGGCUUUCUUGGCUUAUUCAGCCAAGGUUUAACCCAUGGCGGAGGAUCCUCUGCCAAAUCUUGCCACGUAAGGAUAUAGGGCUCCUGAUCGGGAUGAGAGCCGGGUCCAGUCUGAAAAAUAAUUGCUUUAACAGCCAGGAUAAUCUCAGAAUUAAAGGUCCCCUCUGAUGGCCAUCCAACAUCGAAUGUCGGCCAUUCAGAGACACAGAAAGUCUGCCAAGGUCCCUUCUUAACCUGAACUGACAAAUUAUGAGCCCUGGAUUUAACUUCAGUCCAAUGGUCGAGAGUCAAACUAAGAGGGGUCGUCACCGUCUGUCCCAUAUUAAAACUGUAGACAAGGACGCACAAGACAAAGACACACAAAACAGAAACCAACAGAUCCA
rnacentral:lncRNA from 1 species